GAUGAACGCUGGCGGCGUGCCUAAUACAUGCAAGUCGAGCGAACGGACGAGAAGCUUGCUUCUCUGAUGUUAGCGGCGGACGGGUGAGUAACACGUGGAUAACCUACCUAUAAGACUGGGAUAACUUCGGGAAACCGGAGCUAAUACCGGAUGAUAUUUUGAACCGCAUGGUUCAAAAGUGAAAGACGGUCUUGCUGUCACUUAUAGAUGGAUCCGCGCUGCAUUAGCUAGUUGGUAAGGUAACGGCUUACCAAGGCAACGAUGCAUAGCCGACCUGAGAGGGUGAUCGGCCACACUGGAACUGAGACACGGUCCAGACUCCUACGGGAGGCAGCAGUAGGGAAUCUUCCGCAAAGGGCGAAAGCCUGACGGAGCAACGCCGCGUGAGUGAUGAAGGUCUUCGGAUCGUAAAGCUCUGUUAUUAGGGAAGAACAUAUGUGUAAGUAACUGUGCACAUCUUGACGGUACCUAAUCAGAAAGCCACGGCUAACUACGUG
rnacentral:rRNA from 1 species